rnacentral:rRNA from 1 species
AUUGAACGAUGGCGGCAGGCCUAACACAUGCAAGUCGAGCGAGCGGCGGACGGGUGAGUAAUGUAUGGGGAAAGGCCGAUAGAGGGGGAUAACUCCUGGAAAAGGUGGCUAAUAUCGCAUAAUGUCGGAGAACGCAUAUGGGAUUAGCUAGUAGGGAAGGUAAGGGCGUACCUAGGCGACGAUCCCUAGCUGGGCUGAGAGGAUGACCAGCCACACUGGGACUGAGACACGGCCCAGACUCCUACGGAGGCAGCAGUGGGGAAUAUUGCACAAUGGGCGCAAGCCUGAUGCAGCCAUGCCGCGUGUAUGAAGAAGGCCCUAGGGUUGUAAAGUACUUUCAGUCGGGAGGCGUUACCGACAGAAGAAGCACCGGCUAACUCCGUGCCAGCAGCCGCGGUAAUUC